rnacentral:rRNA from 1 species
AUGAACGCUAGCUACAGGCUUAACACAUGCAAGUCGAGGGGCAGCAUGGACCCAGCUUUGCUGGGUUUGAUGGCGACCGGCGCACGGGUGAGUAACGCGUAUCCAACCUGCCCUUUACUCCGGGAUAGUCUCCUGAAAGGGAGUUUAAUACCGGAUGUGUUUGUCUUUCCGCAUGGGAGCGACAAAUAAAGAUUAAUUGGUAAAGGAUGGGGAUGCGUCCCAUUAGCUUGUUGGCGGGGUAACGGCCCACCAAGGCGACGAUGGGUAGGGGUUCUGAGAGGAAGGUCCCCCACAUUGGAACUGAGACACGGUCCAAACUCCUACGGGAGGCAGCAGUGAGGAAUAUUGGUCAAUGGGCGGGAGCCUGAACCAGCCAAGUAGCGUGAAGGACGACGGCCCUACGGGUUGUAAACUUCUUUUAUAAGGGAAUAAAGUUCGCCACGUGUGGUGUUUUGUAUGUACCUUAUGAAUAAGCAUCGGCUAAUUCCGUGCCAGCAGCCGCGGUAAUACGGAAGAUGCGAGCGUUAUCCGGAUUUAUUGGGUUUAAAGGGAGCGUAGGCGGGCUUUUAAGUCAGCGGUCAAAUGUCGUGGCUCAACCAUGUCAAGCCGUUGAAACUGUAAGCCUUGAGUCUGCACAGGGCACAUGGAAUUCGUGGUGUAGCGGUGAAAUGCUUAGAUAUCACGAAGAACUCCGAUCGCGAAGGCAUUGUGCCGGGGCAUAACUGACGCUGAGGCUCGAAAGUGCGGGUAUCAAACAGGAUUAGAUACCCUGGUAGUCCGCACGGUAAACGAUGAAUGCUCGCUAUGGGCGAUAUAUUGUCCGUGGCCAAGCGAAAGCGUUAAGCAUUCCACCUGGGGAGUACGCCGGCAACGGUGAAACUCAAAGGAAUUGACGGGGGCCCGCACAAGCGGUGGAGCAUGUGGUUUAAUUCGAAGCAACGCGAAGAACCUUACCUGCUCUUGACAUCCCACUGACAGGUCAGUAAUGUGACCCUUUCUUCGGAACAGUGGUGACAGGUGGUGCAUGGUUGUCGUCAGCUCGUGUCGUGAGAUGUUGGGUUAAGUCCCGCAACGAGCGCAACCCCUGUGAUUAGUUGCCAGCGAGUAAUGUCGGGAACUCUAAUCAAACUGCCGGUGAUAAAUCGGAGGAAGGUGGGGACGACGUCAAAUCAUCAUGCCCUUUAUGUCUUGGGCUACACACGUACUACAAUGGCUAUAACAAAGAGAAGCGAGACAGUGAUGUGGAGCAAAACUCAAAAAAAUAGUCUCAGUUCGGAUUGAAGGCUGAAAUUCGCCUUCAUGAAGCCGGAAUUGCUAGUAAUGGCAGGUCAGCAUACUGCCGUGAAUACGUUCCCGGGCCUUGUACACACCGCCCGUCAAGCCAUGGGAGCCGGGGGUACCUGAAGUACGUAACCGCAAGGAUCGUCCUAGGGUAAAACUGGUGACUGGGGCU